rnacentral:rRNA from 1 species
UACGUAGGGUGCGAGCGUUAAUCGGAAUUACUGGGCGUAACGCGUGCGCAGGCGGUUUUGUAAGCCAGAUGGGAAAUCCCCGGGCUUAACCUGGGAAUGGCAUUUGGGACUGCAUAGCUAGAGUACGGUAGAGGGGGAUGGAAUUCCGCGUGUAGCAGUGAAAUGCGUAGAUAUGCGGAGGAACACCGAUGGCGAAGGCAAUCCCCUGGACCUGUACUGGCGCUCAUGCACGAAAGCGUGGGGAGCAAACAGG